UACGUAGGUCGCAAGCGUUGUCCGGAUUUACUGGGCGUAAAGAGCGCGCAGGCGGCUGGUCAAGUCCGAUGUGAAAUCUCCCGGCUCAACUGGGGAACUGCAUCGGAAACUGAUCGGCUUGAAGAUGGGAGAGGGUAGUGGAAUUCCCGGUGUAGUGGUGAAAUGCGUAGAUAUCGGGAGGAACACCAGUGGCGAAGGCGACUACCUGGCCCAUUCUUGACGCUGAGGCGCGAAAGCUAGGGGAGCGAACGGG
rnacentral:rRNA from 1 species